rnacentral:sRNA from 2 species
CUGAAGAGCUUCUAGGGUUCCGGUGGCAAACUUAAUUGCUGUGGCUGGUCCGAGAGAAGCAGGCCGUUGCCCCACGGGUUGCGGUUACACGGCGGGAUAAAAGCCCGGGAGGU